rnacentral:rRNA from 1 species
GACGAACCGUGCAAACGUUGUUCGGAAUCACUGGGCUUAAAGGGCGCGUAGGCGGGCAGGCAAGUCGAAGGUGAAAUCCCACGGCUCAACCGUGGAAGUGCCCCCGAUACUGCCUGUCUCGAGGGAGAUAGGGGCGUGCGGAACUUCCGGUGGAGCGGUGAAAUGCGUAGAUAUCGGAAGGAACACCGGUGGCGAAAGCGGCGCGCUGGAUCUCUUCUGACGCUGAUGCGCGAAAGCCAGGGGAGCAAACGGGG